UAGUCCCUUGCGUAAUUACAAGUUAUUUGAAAUCUUAACACGAGUACCUGUACAACAUAAUCCACAUAUGACCCUUUACGUUACAGGGAGCUAUUACAAGUAACUUUUAGGUAUUGCUUCAUAACUUUAUUAUUAUUUACCCUCAUAAUUAUAUAUGUUGAGAUUAAUGCUACCACAGGGAUAGAGUACACCUCAAAACAACUCAUUCGACUUUUUUUCCAAUAUAUUAUUGUUGAAACAUAAACAAAAAUUGUAAUUAAUUAAUUUUACAAAUUGAUUGUAAGCUCAAAAAUUUUAUUAUUAUUACCUU
rnacentral:lncRNA from 1 species